GCUGACCAUCAGGAUGUUCACAUAUGGAACGUUGAGCCUGCCUUCAAGGCUGCGAUGCAGGGUAGCCUUCUCCAUUCACCCAAUUGGUGACAAUCAGCUCAGUGGUCUCACCCCAGCGCAGACCGAGCCCUGGGCACUCUGACCACAGCCUGAGAGGAGAGCUACUUCCUUUCGCAUCAUCCUACUGCUGUCCUUCCAUCGAAUCACAGCAAAAUUCUAUUAUAAUGAAAAGAUUCUAUUAUAUUAGAAUCACAGCACUCCAGUUGCCCCUCGCAGUUUCAACCCUACUUUCACAGGCGUUCUCUCAUUUGCUGCUUACCACAAUGCCCUGAGAACCCAUUCCCAUCGCUGUCUCAUUUGAUCCCCACGUCACAGUAGAGCAGGUAUGCCUUUCCCCACGAUGAGUAAAGAGAGGCUCAGAGACGUUGAUGGACAUAAAGAGCAGUAAGGAGGGGCAGGACCAGACUCUCAUCCCGGUCUCCUAACUCUAAAGUCACUCCAACUUUCCAAGAAGCAGAAUGUGGAAAGGAACAAGGAGAUAAAAGAGCAUGGGCUGAGAAGAGUCCAGCAGCUUCCGGAGGGUGACUCACCACCGAGAGCAUCUGAUGGAAAGGCUUUUUAUCUGGAUGCCUGGCACCAGGCGAAGCGUUCCUCCGCGGUGGGCUCGGACCCGGAGAACAGCGCUUCUGAGCCGUUCCUUUACCAGCAGAGACUUCCAUGGAAGGUCCCACCUCACUCCGUGGCCCUUCCCUCCCUUGCGUGUGGGCUCAGCCUUGGGACACAGCUAUAGCACAGUGGUUAGAGCACAGGCUCUGAAGUCAGGCUGCCUGGGUUCAGAUCUUUCUUCUGCCACUCAGUCACUACGAGAUCUUAGGGAAGUUUGUUAACGUCUGUGCACGUCAGCGAUCCAUCUGUCAAAGGGGGAUGAUAAUUCCCUCCCCGUCAUGGCGAGGAUGGAGUGAGGCAGUACAUGCUUAGAAUAGUUCCUGGCACAGAGGAAUUUCUCGCUCUCCGUCUGCUUCCAGCCUCCCAUUUCCAGCUGCCCUCAGGAAAUUGCCACUGGAUGUCCCCAAGGCACCUCCAACGCCACGAGCCUGAAACAAAGCACAUCCUCUCCUCUGUGCCGAGACCCCCUUCCUGCUGAAGGCGCCCUUAUCCUCCCAGCCCGUGGAGCUCCAGGUCAGAAGCAGCUUUGAUGGCACCUCUUCCUUCCUUCCUGAUGUGCCAGGAGUCGCCAAGCCCACAAAGCUUCCUUCCCAGUCUCGCUGGGGUUCGUCUCCCGCAGCACCUUGGCCUGAGUUCCAGCCCUCCUCCCCUCUCCUCAGGACUCAGGCCCCUUUCCAGUGCGCCCGGCACUGGCUGCCAGAGACAUCUGGCCACUGCAGGACUCUUACCACAUACCCGCCCAACAAGCUGCGGUGAUUCUCUUCGCCUACUGCUGCAAGUCCAGGGGCCCCGUAAAGCAGCCCCUCUCUGACUUCCUUUCCUGUCAGAUCUGUCUUCUCACCCAUCAUUCAGUUUCCUGUGCUCCCUCUGGCUAGAAUGCCCUCCCCCUUCGUGUAUCCAGCCGUAACUACCCAUGAGUCAAGACCUGGAAAGGUAAAUUCCAUUGUAUGCUGUUUUCCCACUCUGCUUAAUAAAUAUAACAGCCCGGAGCUCUCUAAUGAGAACUCUGAGAUUAUUUGCAUGGUCUAUGUGAAAGAGAGCCAUGAUUGAUUGGUGAUGUCUCCCAUGUCAUGGGGUUGAUGUCGUCAUGGGUGUAGGAGGGAGAAAUAGUUGACUAGUGAUGUCUGCCAUGGGUAAAGGAGGGAGCCAUGGGUAAAGGAGGGAGACACAGAAGUAAGUUGCUUUGUCUUGAG
ensembl:lncRNA